rnacentral:rRNA from 1 species
GACGAACGCUGGCGGCGUGCUUAACACAUGCAAGUCGAGCGGUAAGCAGUCCUUCGGACUGCCUAGAGCGGCGAACGGGUGAGUAACACGUGGGUAACCUGCCCUAAGGACUGGGAUAACAUCCGGAAACGGAUGCUAAUACCGGACGUGCUUCAUAGGCGCAAGCCCGUGAAGUAAAGGUAGCUUCGGCUUCUGCCUUAGGAUGGGCCCGCGGCCUAUCAGCUUGUUGGGGAGGUAACGGCUCACCAAGGCGACGACGGGUAGCUGGUCUGAGAGGACGAUCAGCCACACUGGGACUGAGACACGGCCCAGACUCCUACGGGAGGCAGCAGUGGGGAAUCUUGCGCAAUGCGCGAAAGCGUGACGCAGCAACGCCGCGUGAGGGAAGAAGGCCUUCGGGUUGUAAACCUCUUUCAGGGGGGACGAAGGUUCAGGCGCGAAUAGCGUCCUGGACUGACGGUACCUCCAGAAGAAGGCCCGGCUAACUA